UCUAUGUUGUGUGAGUUGUGUGCAGUGCUCUAUUCAGAUUAGUGCCAGUCAUGUGAAAUACAUAUGACUGGCACCAUUCUGGAUAAUGUAAUGCUCACUAUAUUCUUCAAGUGAUUU
rnacentral:precursor_RNA from 7 species